rnacentral:rRNA from 1 species
UCGUCAGCUCGUGUCGUGAGAUGUUGGGUUAAGUCCCGCAACGAGCGCAACCCUUGCCUUUAGUUGCCAGCAUUAAGUUGGGCACUCUAGAGGGACUGCCAGGGAUAACCUGGAGGAAGGUGGGGAUGACGUCAAAUCAUCAUGCCCCUUAUGCUUAGGGCUACACACGUGCUACAAUGGGUGGUACAGAGGGCAGCCAAGUCGUGAGGCGGAGCUAAUCCCUUAAAGCCAUUCUCAGUUCGGAUUGUAGGCUGAAACUCGCCUACAUGAAGCUGGAGUUACUAGUAAUCGCAGAUCAGAAUGCUGCGGUGAAUGCGUUCCCGGGUCUUGUACACACCGCCCGUCACACCAUGGGAGUUGGGGGCGCCCGAAGCCGGAUAGCUAACCUUUUGGAAGCGUCCGUCGAAGGUGAAACCAAUAACUGGGGUGAAGUCGUAACAAGGUAACCGUA